UACAGGGGGUGCAAGCGUUGCUCGGAAUCACUGGGCGUAAAGCGUGCGCAGGCGGAACGUUAAGUCGGAUGUGAAAUCCCGGGGCUCAACCCCGGAACUGCAUUCGAAACUGACGAUCUUGAGUGCGGCAGAGGUGAGUGGAAUUCCUGGUGUAGAGGUGAAAUGCGUAGAUAUCUGGAGGAACACCGGUGGCGAAGGCGGCAUCCUGGACCGGUAUUGACGCUGAGGCGCGAAAGCCAGGGGAGCAAACGGG
rnacentral:rRNA from 1 species